GCAGAGCCCGCCGCCGGGCUCCCGGACGAGGGUGCCGUACCCGGACAGCGACAAGACGGCACGUC
rfam:Cellulomonas sp. PSBB021 chromosome, complete genome.